rnacentral:tRNA from 1 species
UCCCUGCUGGCUCAGACGGUAAAGAAUCUGCCUGCAACGCAGGAGACCCAGGUUCAACCCCUUGGUUGGGAA